rnacentral:rRNA from 1 species
CCUACGGGCGGCUGCAGUGAGGAAUAUUGGUCAAUGGACGAGAGUCUGAACCAGCCAAGUAGCGUGAAGGAUGACUGCCCUAUGGGUUGUAAACUUCUUUUAUAUGGGAAUAAAAUGUUCCACGUGUGGGAUUUUGUAUGUACCAUAUGAAUAAGGAUAGGCUAACUCCGUGCCAGCAGCCGCGGUAAUACGGAGGAUCCGAGCGUUAUCCGGAUUUAUUGGGUUUAACGGGAGCGUAGGUGGAUUGUUAAGUCAGUUGUGAAAGUUUGCGGCUCAACCGUAAAAUUGCAGUUGAAACUGGCAGUCUUGAGUACAGUAGAGGUGGGCGGAAGUCGUGGUGUAGCGGUGAAAUGCUUAGAUAUCACGAAGAACUCCGAUUGCGAAGGCAGUUCACUGGACUGCAACUGACACUGAGGCUCGAAAGUGUGGGUAUCAAACAGGAUUAGAUACCCGAGUAGUC